rnacentral:rRNA from 1 species
CAGUAAGGAAUAUUGGUCAAUGGACGAAAGUCUGAACCAGCCAUGCCGCGUGGAGGAUGAAGGUCCUCUGGAUUGUAAACUUCUUUUAUAUGGGACGAAAAAAGGGUUUUCUAACCCGUCUGACGGUACCAUAUGAACAAGCACCGGCUAACUCUGUGCCAGCAGCCGCGGUAAU